rnacentral:rRNA from 1 species
GCAUAACAAUGGAUGACACAUGUCAUUUAUUUGAAAGGGGCAAAUUGCUCCACUACAAGAUGGACCUGCGUUGUAUUAGCUAGUAGGUGAGGUAAUGGCGUCACCUAGGCGACGAUACAUAGCCGACCUNAGAGGGUGAUCGGCCACACUGGGACUGAGACACGGCCCAGACUCCUACGGGAGGCAGCAUG